AUGAGGAGGAGGAGAACAUACGGCUCGAUGGCACAGGAGGCUGAGGAGAGUGGAGGCCCGAGAACAGGAGGAGAACCCCACAGGAGCAGAACCCCACAGAGCAGAACCACACAGGAGCAGAAAAAACACAGGAGCAGAAAAAACACAGGAGCAGAACCCCACAGAGCAGAACCACACAGGAGCAGAAAAAACACAGGAGCAGAACCCCACAGAACAGAACCCCACAGGAGCAGAACCCCACAGGAGCAGAACCCCACAGAACAGAACCCCACAGGAGCAGAACCCCACAGAACAGAACCCCACAGAAAAGAACCCCACAGGAGCAGAACCCCACAGGAGCAGAACCCCACGGAGCAGAACCCCACGGAGCAGAACCCCACAGAACAGAACCCCACGGAGCAGAACCCCACAGGAGCAGAACCCCACAGGCGCAGAAAAAACACAGGAGCAGAACCCCACAGAACAGAACCCCACAGGAGCAGAACCCCACAGGAGCAGAACCCCACAGGAGCAGAACCCCAUGGAGCAGAACCCCACAGAACAGAACCCCACGGAGCAGAACCCCACAGGAGCAGAACCCCACAGGCGCAGAAAAAACACAGGAGCAGAACCCCACAGGAGCAGAACCCCACAGGCGCAGAACCCCACAGGCGCAGAAAAAACACAGGAGCAGAAAAAACACAGGAACAGAACCACACAGAACAGAACCCCACAGAAAAGAACCCCACAGGAGCAGGACCCCACAGGAGCAGAACCCCACGGGCGCAGAAAAAACACAGGAGCAGAAAAAACACAGGAGCAGAACCCCACAGAACAGAACCUCACAGGAGCAGAACCCCACAGGAGCAGAAAAAACACAGGAGCAGAAAAAACACAGGAACAGAACCACACAGAAGCAGAAAAAACACAGGAGCAGAACCCCACAGAACAGAACCCCACAGAACAGAACCCCACAGAGCAGAACCCCACGGGAGCAGAACCCCACAGAACCCCACAGAACAGGCCUGUGAGCACCUCCUCGGCUCAGGGGACGUUCUGCCCACAGGUGCGUCUGUAUCGGAGCAGUCUGAGCGCCGUGCUCCUCACACCUGA
rnacentral:lncRNA from 1 species